rnacentral:rRNA from 1 species
AUGGUGAUGAUGACGUGCUCCUUGAUGUUGAAGGGCCCCGGGUUGAGGUUGAAGCUCCCGAGGCGGCCGCCCAGCAGCCGGACCUCGCGGUCGGGCAGCACGGACGCCAUGAAGCGGCCGACGGGGAGCACCAGGAUCUGGGCCAGGAUGCCCGAGAUGGUGAGCGGCUGCGUGCGGUACGUGAAGAAGGUGUUGAGGAAGAUGAGCACCACGCAGGAGGCCAGCCCCAGCGUCCACGCCCGGAAUGUCAUCACCGGCGUCGCCGGGUCGUCCGUCUCCGGCACCACCAGCGCCACCUCCUCCACCGGGUACCGCUCCCCCUCCCCCUCCCCCUGCGCCGCCGCCUUCCCUCCCGCCGCGUCGGCCGCCGGCGCCGGCGGCUUCGCGGACGGCAUCUCUCUCGCGCUCUGCGACCACGCGCUCUGCUUCGCUGGCUGUGGCUGCCCCCGAGCUACGAAGCUACAAUGA